rnacentral:tRNA from 2 species
GCCGGAGUGGUGGAAUGGUAGACGCAGAGGACUCAAAAUCCUCCGGGGGCAACCCCUUGCGAGUUCGAGUCUCGCCUCCGGUA